GUGUGCACCUGUAAUCCCAGCUACUCAGGAGGCUGAGGCAGUAGAAUCGCUUGAACCCGGGACGUGGAGAUUGCAGUGAGCCGAGACUGCGCCUAAGUAGCUGGGAUUACAGGCGUGUACCACCAUUCCUGGCUUAUUUUUGUAUUUUUAGUAGAGACGUGGUUUCUGCCAUGUUGGCCAGCCUUGUCUUGGACUCCUGACAGAGGGAGGGAAGGAGGGACGGAGGGAAGGAAGGAAGGAACGAAGGAAAGAAGGAAGGAAGGAACGAAGGAAGGAAGGAAGGAAGGAAGGAAGGAAGGAAGGAAGCAAGGAAACUACAGACCAGUAUCUCUUGUGAACAUAGAUGCAAAACUCCUCAACAAAAUAGUAGCAAAUCAAAUCCAGUAAUGUAUAAAAAUAAUUACUCAAAAUGACCAAGCGGGAUUUAUUCCAGGUAUGUGAGGCUAGUUCAACAUUUGAAAAUCAAUUAAGAUAAUCAAUUACAUUGACAGGCUAACGAUGUAAAAUUGCAUUAUCAUACCAAUAAAAGCAGAAAAAGCAUGUGGCAAAGUCCAACCACCAUUUACAAUAAAAACUCUCAACAAACUAGGAAAUAAGAGAACUUCACAAGUUGAUAAAGAACAUUUACAAAAAUCAUACUUAAUGGUGAGAAACUGGAAGCUUUCCCACUAAGGUCAGGAACAAGGCAAUAAUGUCCUAACAACUCAUUUUCAAUGUUGUACCAAAAGUCCUAGCUAAUGUAGAAAAUCUGAAAGAAUCAACAAAAACAAACCAACAAAAACUCUUGGAACGAAUAAGCAUUACAGCAAGAUUGCAAGACACAACAUUAAUAUACAAAAGUCAAUUGCUAAGCUGGACGAAGUGGCUCAUGCCUGUAAUUCCUGCACUUUGAGAGGUCAAGGCAGGCGGAUCUAUUGAGUCCAGGAGUUUGAGAUUAGCCUUGGCAACCUCCCUGUAGGAAGACCUUAUCUCUAUUAAAAAAAGAAAAACUCAGCCGGGUGUGGUGAUUCACACCUGUAAUCCCAGCAUUUUGGGAGGCUGAGGUGGGUGGAUCACUGGGUCAAGAGAUUGAGACCAUCCUGGCCAACAUGGUGAAACCCCGUGUCUAUUAAAAAUACAAAAAUUAGCUGGGCAUGGUGGUGCGCACCUGUAGUACCAGCUACUCGGGAGGCUGAGGCAGGAGAAUCGCUUGAACCCGGGAGGUGGAGCUUGCAGUGAGCCGAGAUCGCG
rnacentral:lncRNA from 1 species